GCACGGUGGUGUGGUGGUUAGCACUCUCGCCUCACAGCAAGAGGGUUGCCGGUUCGAUCCCGGGCGUGGGAGCCCUUCUGUGCGGAGUUUGCAUGUUCUCCCCGUGUCAGCGUGGGUUCUCUCCGGGCACUCCGGCUUCCUCCCACAGUCCGAAGACAUGCAGAUUGGGGACUAGGUUAAUUGGUGACUCUAAAUUGUCCAUAGGUGUGAAUGUGAGCGUGAAUGGUUGUUUGUCUCUAUGUGUCAGCCCUGUGAUAGUCUGGCGACCUGUCCAGGGUGUACCCUGCCUCUCGCCCGAUGUCAGCUGGGAUAGGCUCCAGCCCCCCCCCGCGACCCUCAAGAGGAUGAAGCGGUUAGAAGAUGAA